AACGAACGCUGGCGGCAGGCCUAACACAUGCAAGUCGAACGCUCGUAGCAAUACGGGAGUGGCAGACGGGUGAGUAACACGUGGGAACCUUCCCUAUGGUUCGGAAUAGCUCAGGGAAACUUGGGGUAAUACCGGAUAAGCCCUUCGGGGAAAGGAUUUAUCGCCAUUGGAUGGGCCCGCCGUCGGAUUAGCUAGUUGGUGAGGUAACGGCUCACCAAGCCAACGAUCCGUAGCUGAUCUGAGAGGAUGAUCAGCCACACUGGGACUGAGACACGGCCCAGACUCCUACGGGAGGCAGCAGUAGGGAAUCUUGGACAAUGGGCGCAAGCCUGAUCCAGCCAUGCCGCGUGAGUGAAGAAGGCCUUCGGUUG
rnacentral:rRNA from 1 species